UAUAGUCUAAGGAGGAAAUGACUAAACAAAGACAUGAUAUUUGUGAAAUGCUUUGCAAAGCUUAAAUUGCUAUACAAAGUCUAAAUAUGUGAAAACAAAAUUUAGGGUAAAGUUGGAGGUGAUUUCAGAGGGAAGGUCCUACCUGGGUUAGGGAGACCAAGAAAAGCUUCUGCAGAAGGUAGGAUUUUAGCUGAGACUUGAAGGAAGCCAGGGAAGAAAGGUAGAGAUGAGGAGGGAGAAAAUUCCAGGCAUGGGGGAAAAUAGGGAAUGCAUGGUCAGGAGAUGGGGCAUCUUGUAGGAGGAACAGCAAAGAGCGUAUGUCACUGGAUCGAAGACUAAGUAGAAGAGAAUAAAGUGGCAAUCAUUCAGCCCUCCAUCGACCAAUAAUAGUGAAGUUCAAAGCCGAUAUCUUGGCUUCUCACAGACUCCAAAAGCUCUCCAGAUGGGACAUGUGACUCCAGUUCAAGGUGGGAAAGAUCAUGUCUUUUUCUACUCUUGUAUGAUGACAACCCAGCCUCCAGUCCUUACCUGAAGUGUAGACUUAACUAGUCUUUUGCAGAUCAUAUUGUUGAUAGUGAGGCUGAGCUCCAAUCAACUUGAUGAGAUAAGACGGUCUGGAGGCAAUGAAAGGACUCUUCACAUGAACCAUGAAUUCUUCACUGUGGGGAAAUUCUCUUUAUGGAAACUUCCUUCACUGAUGAAGUUCAGCAACUGAUCUCUAACAGCUUCUAUUUUAUCUUAUUUUAUCAAUUAGUAUUUAUUUCCUCUCCCUCCCAUUGUCUC